UGUGCUCCUCUCAUGCUUACCGCCUACCGGGAGUACCCCACCCUCGACUUGAGGCUUAGCCGGCCAAUAUUGAACUAGCCUUGGCUUUUCCCUCUAUAAAAAGAGGACCAUCACGCAGCAGAGCUUGGAGAUAUAGCAGCAACUCAUACAAAGCUAAAACAAUCUCCUUGUUAAGUUCAUCGUUCGUGCAUCCUUAGCCCAAUCAACCAUGUCGGACAAGUGCAGCGGCUGCAGCUGCGCUGACAAGAGUCAGUGCGUGAAGAAGGGAAACAGCUACGGGCUCGUCGUGGAGACUGAGAAGAGCUACAUCGACACUGUGGUGGUCAUGGAUGCUCCAGCAGCUGAGCACGGUACUGGCACGUGCAAGUGCGGUUCUAGCUGCCCCUGCAUUGACUGCACCUGUGGGUAACUAAGCCAAGCCCCGCCCACCGAUCGAUACAUGGUAUUAUAUAUGUGGAAUCGUGUGUCGACUCUCGUCAUGAAUAAUGUAUUGGUGUUGAAUAAUUGUGCUGUCCUCUGUUAAAGUACUCUAAUGUGCUUGUUGUCUGUUAAGUGGGUUCGAUCGUUGUCUCCUGUUAUGUUUCUGCAUCUUUCAUAGUCAUGUAACAUGGCCAUCUCUGUGGCCUUGUGUGAUUAAACUAAAUGGACUUCUAAUAUAUUUACGCUCACGUGCGUACAUGC